CAGCAGCCACGGUAAUACGAGGGGUGCAAGCGUUAUUCGGAUUGAUUGGGUGUAAAGGGUGUGCAGACGGCUUAUUAAGUCACUUGUUAAAUUCUUCGGCCUAACUGAAGGUCUGCAAGUGAUACUGAUGAGCUAGAGGGUGGAAGAGAGAAGUGGAAUUCCAUGUGUAGCGGUGAAAUGCGUAGAUAUAUGGAGGAACACCGGUGGCGAAAGCGGCUCUCUGGCUUGUAACUGACGCUGAGGCUCGAAAGCGUGGGGAGCAAACAGGAUUAGAUACCCCAGUAGUCCCUGUCUCUUAUAC
rnacentral:rRNA from 1 species